UACGUAGGGCGCAAGCGUUAUCCGGAAUUAUUGGGCGUAAAGAGCUCGUAGGCGGUUUGUCGCGUCUGCCGUGAAAGUCCGGGGCUCAACUCCGGAUCUGCGGUGGGUACGGGCAGACUAGAGUGAUGUAGGGGAGACUGGAAUUCCUGGUGUAGCGGUGAAAUGCGCAGAUAUCAGGAGGAACACCGAUGGCGAAGGCGGGUCUCUGGGCAAUAACUGACGCUGAGGAGCGAAAGCGUGGGGAGCGAACAGG
rnacentral:rRNA from 1 species